AGCGAACGCUGGCGGCAGGCCUAACACAUGCAAGUCGAACGAACCUUUCGGGGUUAGUGGCGGCGGGGGGGGAAAAACGUGGGACGUUGCCUUAGGGUUCGGAUUAACCCAGGGAAACUUGUCUUAAUACGGAUGGGGCCCUUGGGGGGAAGGAUUUAUCGCCUUUAGAGCGGCCCGCGUCUGAUUAGCUAGUUGGUUGAGGUAAUGGCUCACCAAGGCGACGAUCAGUAGCUGGUCUGAGAGGAUGAUCAGCCACAUUGGGACUGAGACACGGCCCAAACUCCUACGGGAGGCAGCAGUGGGGAAUCUUGCGCAAUGGGCGAAAGCCUGACGCAGCCAUGCCGCGUGAAUGAUGAAGGUCUUAGGAUUGUAAAAUUCUUUCACCGGGGACGAUAAUGACGGUACCCGGAGAAGAAGCCCCGGCUAACUUCGUG
rnacentral:rRNA from 1 species